CUAAAACAACCUCCUCAACCAUCUGCGAGACAGUCUGCUGAAGUUGUGAAGACUUGAAGGUGCGAUCACUGUAACCAUGCUGAAGGUAGUGUUUGUGCUUGGAUGCCUCCUGAGCCUCGCUCUGGCUCAUCCUAUGGACACGGAGCACAAACGACUUGCACGGUCAAGAUCUGGCUCUAACUCUGGCUCUAACUCUGGCUCCAACUCAAAUUCCAAUGAGCGUUCCCCCAUCCCUACGAUGACUACUCAAGAGUGGCUCCAGUUAAUUUUGAAAUACCUCCAGUCACAACAGCCUGCUACUGCAGCACCUGCUAAAACUACUGCAGCACCUGCUAAAACUACUGCAGCUAAAACUACUGCAGCUAAAACUACUGCAGCUAAAACUACCAAAUAAAAUCUGAAAUGUAACCAGAGAUAAAUAAGUGAAUGUAAAGCAGUACUGAAUGACAGAUUAUUGACAUCAGCUUUGUUUUGUGUCACUUUGUCAUGACAACUGUUUCUUUCUCUUUUCAAAAUUAAAUGAUGUUGUCUUAACCAGAGUGUUUUCACACUCAUCAUUCUAGUUAAACAUGUAGAUCAAAAUCAUUGUAUUCUCUGUAGUAUCUCCUAAAUAAACUUUAUAAAUGGA